ACUAUUUGAGGGCAGAAAGGUUCCUGCCGCACCCGAAAGGGUACCUGAGAUGACGAGGUUACUGAACGUCCAAAUAGG
ncrna:unclassified sequences skipping-rope RNA